rnacentral:rRNA from 1 species
GUCCAGACUCCUACGGGAGGCAGCAGUGAGGAAUAUUGGUCAAUGGGCGAGAGCCUGAACCAGCCAAGUCGCGUGAGGGAUGACUGCCCUAUGGGUUGUAAACCUCUUUUGUAUGGGGGGAAUAAGCUUUACGAGUAGAGUGAUGACAGUACCAUACGAAUAAGCAUCGGCUAACUCCGUGCCAGCAGCCGCGGUAAUACGGAGGAUGCGAGCGUUAUCCGGAUUUAUUGGGUUUAAAGGGUGCGCAGGCGGCUUGUUAAGUCAGCGGUAAAGGCCGGGGGCCCAACCCCGGGGAGCCGUUGAAACUGGCGGGCUGGAGUUGGAGAGAAGUACGCGGAAUGCGCGGUGUAGCGGUGAAAUGCUUAGAUAUCGCGCAGAACCCCGAUUGCGAAGGCAGCGUACCGGCUCCACACUGACGCUGAGGCACGAAAGCGUGGGUAUCGAACAGGAUUAGAUACCCUAGUAA